CAGCAGUAGGGAAUAUUGGUCAAUGGGCGAAAGCCUGAACCAGCCAUGCCGCGUGGAGGAUGACUGCCCUCAGGGUUGUAAACUCCUUUUAUUUGGGAAGAAACCCCGGAAUUCACUUCCGGGCUGACGGUACCAUUUGAAUAAGCACCGGCUAACUCCGUGCCAGCAGCCGCGGUAAUACGGAGGGUGCAAGCGUUAUCCGGAUUCACUGGGUUUAAAGGGUGCGUAGGCGGGACAUUAAGUCAGAGGUGAAAGCCCCGAGCUCAACUCGGGAACUGCCUUUGAUACUGGUGUUCUUGAAUAUAGUUGAGGCAGGCGGAAUACAGCAUGUAGCGGUGAAAUGCAUAGAUAUGCUGUAGAACACCAAUUGCGAAGGCAGCUUGCUAGACUAUUAUUGACGCUGAGGCACGAAAGCGUGGGGAGCGAACAGGAUUAGA
rnacentral:rRNA from 1 species